GACGAACGCUGGCGGCGUGCUUAACACAUGCAAGUCGAACGGAAAGGCCCUGCUUUUGUGGGGUGCUCGAGUGGCGAACGGGUGAGUAACACGUGAGUAACCUGCCCUUGACUUUGGGAUAACUUCAGGAAACUGGGGCUAAUACCGGAUAGGAGCUCCUGCUGCAUGGUGGGGGUUGGAAAGUUUCGGCGGUUGGGGAUGGACUCGCGGCUUAUCAGCUUGUUGGUGGGGUAGUGGCUUACCAAGGCUUUGACGGGUAGCCGGCCUGAGAGGGUGACCGGCCACAUUGGGACUGAGAUACGGCCCAGAAUCCUACGGGAGGCAGCAGUGGGGAAUAUUGCACAAUGGGCGGAAGCCUGAUGCAGCAACGCCGCGUGCGGGAUGCCGGCCUUCGGGUUGUAAACCGCUUUCGCCUGUGACGAAGCGUGAGUGACGGUACUGGGUAAAGAAGCACCGGCUAACUACGUG
rnacentral:rRNA from 1 species